AUGUGAAAGCCCGGGGCUCAACCUCGGAAUUGCAUUUGAAACUGGCAGACUAGAGUACUGUAGAGGGGGGUAGAAUUUCAGGUGUAGCGGUGAAAUGCGUAGAGAUCUGAAGGAAUACCGGUGGCGAAGGCGGCCCCCUGGACAGAUACUGACACUCAGAUGCGAAAGCGUGGGGAGCAAACAGGAUUAGAUACCCUGGUAGUCCACGCCGUAAACGAUGUCUACUUGGAGGUUGUGGCCUUGAGCCGUGGCUUUCGGAGCUAACGCGUUAAGUAGACCGCCUGGGGAGUACGGUCGCAAGAUUAAAACUCAAAUGAAUUGACGGGGGCCCGCACAAGCGGUGGAGCAUGUGGUUUAAUUCGAUGCAACGCGAAGAACCUUACCUACUCUUGACAUCCAGAGAACUUUCCAGAGAUGGAUUGGUGCCUUCGGGAACUCUGAGACAGGUGCUGCAUGGCUGUCGUCAGCUCGUGUUGUGAAAUGUUGGGUUAAGUCCCGCA
rnacentral:rRNA from 1 species